AUAACAAAGAAAAAGGAAGGGAAUGUAUAAUUUUAAAACGUAUUAAAGUUUAGCAAGAGAGAUGCACGUGAGAGGAGAUGCAGAUAUGGGUUCAUAGGAUCACCACGUCUUCGCAUUUAGGUGAAGAAGUAGCAUCAGCUCUUCGCCACCUGCCAAGUUCACAGAGUACAAAUCUAAUGAUCCAUCUCUUUAUCACGUGAUCUCUAUAAAGUAAUCCCCCACUACAUUCAUUCUGAAUCUAAACUAUUAUGUUACAUGUGCUAAUCCCCC
rnacentral:lncRNA from 1 species